UAGUCCACGCCGUAAACGAUGUUCACUCGCUGUUGGCGAUAUAUUGUCAGUGGCUAAGCGAAAGUGAUAAGUGAACCACCUGGGGAGUACGUUGGCAACAAUGAAACUCAAAGGAAUUGACGGGGGCCCGCACAAGCGGUGGAACAUGUGGUUUAAUUCGAUGAUACGCGAGGAACCUUACCUGGACUUAAAUGUAGAUUGCAUAAGCUAGAGAUAGCUUUUUCUUCGGACCAUCUACAAGGUGCUGCAUGGUUGUCGUCAGCUCGUGCCGUGAGGUGUCGGGUUAAGUCCCAUAACGAGCGCAACCCCUAUCGUUAGUUGCUAACAGGUCAAGCUGAGGACUCUGACGAGACUGCCGGUGUAAACCGNGAGGAAGGUGGGGAUGGACGUCAAAUCAGCACGGCCCUUACGUCCAGGGGCUACACACGUGUUACAAUGGCCGGUACAGAGAGCAGCCACUAUGCAAGGUAGGGAGCGAAUCUACAAAACCGGGUCACAGUUCGGGAUC
rnacentral:rRNA from 1 species